rnacentral:tRNA from 1 species
GGGCGAUUAGCUCAGCGGAAGAGCGCUGCCUUCACACGGCAGAGGUCGUGGGUUCGAUACCCGCAUCGCCCA